UCAUCCUCAGAUUCUACAAUGAUUUUUAGCCCCGUCACGGUCGCCUAAAGGCGAGGGAUUCAUGACAGAGCAUGUUUAUCAUGCACGUGGUAAAGCCGUACCUGAGCACGUUUGAUGUUAUGU
rnacentral:sRNA from 12 species